rnacentral:rRNA from 1 species
UACGUAGGGUGCGAGCGUUAAUCGGAAUUACUGGGCGUAAAGCGUGCGCAGGCGGUUCGUUGUGUCGGCGGUGAAAGCCCCGGGCUUAACCUGGGAAUGGCCGUUGAAACUGGCGAACUGGAGUGUGGCAGAGGGGGGUGGAAUUCCGCGUGUAGCAGUGAAAUGCGUAGAGAUGCGGAGGAACACCGAUGGCGAAGGCAGCCCCCUGGGCUAACACUGACGCUCAGGUACGAAAGCGUGGGGAGCAAACAGG